AUUGAACGCUGGCGGCAGGCCUAACACAUGCAAGUCGAACGAGUGGCGGACGGGUGAGUAAUGUCUGGGAAACUGCCCGAUGGAGGGGGAUAACUACUGGAAACGGUAGCUAAUACCGCAUACCAUCGGAUGUGCCCAGAUGGGAUUAGCUAGUGGGUGGGGUAACGGCUCACCUAGGCGACGAUCCCUAGCUGGUCUGAGAGGAUGACCGGCAACACUGGACCUGGGACACGGUCCAGAUUCCUACGGGGGGCAGCAGUGGGGAAUAUUGCACAAGGGGCGCAAGCCUGAUGCAGCAAUGCCGCGUGUAUGAGGAAGGCCUUCGGGUUGUAAAGUACUUUCAGCGAGGAGGCGUUACUCGCAGAAGAAGCAACGGCUAACUCCGUGCCAGCAGCCGCGGUAAUAC
rnacentral:rRNA from 1 species